UACGUAGGGCGCAAGCGUUGUCCGGAACUAUUGGGCGUAAAGAGCUCGUAGGCGGUCUGUUACGUCCGCUGUGAAAACCCAGGGCUUAACCCUGGGCUUGCAGUGGAUACGGGUAGACUAGAGGCAGGUAGGGGAGAAUGGAAUUCCCGGUGUAGCGGUGAAAUGCGCAGAUAUCGGGAGGAACACCGGUGGCGAAGGCGGUUCUCUGGGCCUGACCUGACGCUGAGGAGCGAAAGCGUGGGGAGCGAACAGG
rnacentral:rRNA from 1 species